rnacentral:lncRNA from 1 species
CCUUCAUCUCGCGAGAGUACCUCCUCUUUUGUACCUCCAUAAUCUCGCUUUACAGUGGUACCUCCCCAAAAUCUUUAAAUCCUUCAACAAUCUUUGGCAAUGGUUUCUCCCUCAACCUAUCUCGAUUCCGUUCAUGGUUAGGAGGUACUGUUAGAAAUUUUACAGCUUUCCUCCCAUCUUCGCUCUGUACCCUUGCAUAAGCAGAACC